CCUACGGGAGGCUGCAGUGGGGAAUAUUGGACAAUGGGGGGAACCCUGAUCCAGCCAUGCCGCGUGUGUGAAGAAGGCCCUCGGGUUGUAAAGCACUUUCAGUGAGGAAGAACGCCUGGUGGUUAAUACCCAUCAGGAAAGGCAUCACUCACAGAAGAAGCACCGGCUAACUCCGUGCCAGCAGCCGCGGUAAUACGGAGGGUGCGAGCGUUAAUCGGAAUUACUGGGCGUAAAGCGCGCGUAGGUGGCUUGAUAAGCCGGUUGUGAAAGCCCCGGGCUCAACCUGGGAACGGCAUCCGGAACUGUCAAGCUAGAGUGCAGGAGAGGAAGGUAGAAUUCCCGGUGUAGCGGUGAAAUGCGUAGAGAUCGGGAGGAAUACCAGUGGCGAAGGCGGCCUUCUGGACUGACACUGACACUGAGGUGCGAAAGCGUGGGUAGCAAACAGGAUUAGAUACCCUUGUAGUC
rnacentral:rRNA from 1 species